rnacentral:snoRNA from 12 species
AGCAAAAUGAUGAAGUUGUUUUCUGUCUGAAUCUGGUGUGGAUUACAUAACAUAAACAUACAGGUCUUCAAAGUUCUCUGAUUGCU